AACGAACGCUGGCGGCAGGCCUAACACAUGCAAGUCGAGCGCGCCUUUCGGGGUGAGCGGCGGACGGGUUAGUAACGCGUGGGAAUAUGCCCUUUGGUACGGAAUAGCCUCUGGAAACGGAGAGUAAUACCGUAUGAGCCCUUCGGGGGAAAGAUUUAUCGCCAAAGGAUUAGCCCGCGUUAGAUUAGGUAGUUGGUGGGGUAAUGGCCUACCAAGCCUACGAUCUAUAGCUGGUUUUAGAGGAUGAUCAGCAACACUGGGACUGAGACACGGCCCAGACUCCUACGGGAGGCAGCAGUGGGGAAUCUUGGACAAUGGGGGCAACCCUGAUCCAGCCAUGCCGCGUGAGUGAAGAAGGCCCUAGGGUCGUAAACCGCUUUCAGGGGGGACAAGCUUCCGAGGUUAAUAGCCUACGGGGUGACGGUACCCCCAGAAGAAGCCCCGGCUAACUACGUGCCAGCCGCCGCGGUAAUU
rnacentral:rRNA from 1 species